CUGUCUAUGGUGUGCACAGAGAAGGUUUCUCGGUAUUUUCCAUUAAUAAGAUAAUUUCCCCGGUUGCGGUCAUUCAAUGAGAGAUGUCAGUAAGUUGACUAUUGUUUGUUUUGACAACAUUGGCCCUGUAGGACAAGCUGGCGGACCCCUCCCACCCUCAAGCAAGCAGUGAAAGCCCUGCAGGACAAGCUGGCGUACCCCUCCCAUCGUCUCCAUCGGUCCUGCAGGACAAGCUGGCGUACCUCUCCCAUCGUCUCCAUCGGCCCUGCAGGACAAGCUGGCGUACCCCUCCCAUCGUCUCCAUCGGCCCUGCAGGACAAGCUGGCGUACUCCUCCCAUCGUCUCCAUCGGCCCAGUUCAGCACCACCUUCCAGACAGCAAGCAGUGAAAGGGAUUACAUACUGUCUCUGUACUUUGCCAUUUUCUAACAUGGCUACAAAUGAAACAAAAACAAACUUGGCCAUUUAUUUGUAUUUGGUGCUGAUGAAUAUGAUAUCUAAUC